GGUAGUAUGGCCGAGAUGCAGGCAGCGAGCUGUAGAUUCGCGUACAGGGGUCAGACCCUUACUGCCA
rnacentral:tRNA from 1 species